rnacentral:rRNA from 1 species
AUUGAACGCUGGCGGCAGGCCUAACACAUGCAAGUCGAACGGGAACAGGCAGACGCUUGCUUCUUUGCUGACGAGCGGCGGACGGGCGAGUAAUGUCUGUGCAACUCCCAGGUGGAUGGGGAUAACUACUGGAAACGGUUACUAAUACCGCAUAACGUCGCAAGUGCACAGGGGGGGACCUGUGGGCUCCUUGCUAUCGGAAGUGCCCAGCUGGGAUUAGCUAGUAGGUGGGGUGACGGCUCACCCAGGCGACCGUCCCUGGCUGGUCUGAGAGGAUGAGCAGCCACACUGGAACUGAGACACGGUCCAGAAUCCUACGGGAGGCAGCAGUGGGGAAUAUUGCACAAUGGGCGCAAGCCUGAUGCAGCCAUGCCGCGUGUAUGAAGAAGGCCUUCGGGUUGUAAAGUACUUUCAGCGGGGAGGAAGGGAGUAAAGUUAAAACGUUUGCUCAUUGACGUUACCCGCAGAAGAAGCACCGGCUAACUCCGUG